UACAGAGGGGGCAAGCGUUGUUCGGAAUUACUGGGCGUAAAGGGCGCGUAGGCGGCCUGCUAAGUCGAACGUGAAAUCCCUGGGCUCAACCCAGGAACUGCGUCCGAUACUGGCAGGCUUGAAUUCGGGAGAGGGAUGUGGAAUUCCAGGUGUAGCGGUGAAAUGCGUAGAUAUCUGGAGGAACACCGGUGGCGAAGGCGGCAUCCUGGACCGAUAUUGACGCUGAGGCGCGAAAGCCAGGGGAGCAAACGGG
rnacentral:rRNA from 1 species